rnacentral:rRNA from 1 species
AGCGUAUACGGUGGAUGCCCUGGCAGUCAGAGGCGAUGAAGGACGUGCUAAUCUGCGAUAAGCGUCGGUAAGGUGAUAUGAACCGUUAUAACCGGCGAUUUCCGAAUGGGGAAACCCAGUGUGUUUCGACACACUAUCAUUAACUGAAUCCAUAGGUUAAUGAGGCGAACCGGGGGAACUGAAACAUCUAAGUACCCCGAGGAAAAGAAAUCAACCGAGAUUCCCCCAGUAGCGGCGAGCGAACGGGGAGGAGCCCAGAGCCUGAAUCAGUGUGUGUGUUAGUGGAAGCGUCUGGAAAGGCGCGCGAUACAGGGUGACAGCCCCGUACACAAAAAUGCACAUACUGUGAGCUCGAUGAGUAGGGCGGGACACGUGGUAUCCUGUCUGAAUAUGGGGGGACCAUCCUCCAAGGCUAAAUACUCCUGACUGACCGAUAGUGAACCAGUACCGUGAGGGAAAGGCGAAAAGAACCCCGGCGAGGGGAGUGAAAAAGAACCUGAAACCGUGUACGUACAAGCAGUGGGAGCCUCUUUAUGGGGUGACUGCGUACCUUUUGUAUAAUGGGUCAGCGACUUAUAUUCUGUAGCAAGGUUAACCGAAUAGGGGAGCCGAAGGGAAACCGAGUCUUAACUGGGCGUUAAGUUGCAGGGUAUAGACCCGAAACCCGGUGAUCUAGCCAUGGGCAGGUUGAAGGUUGGGUAACACUAACUGGAGGACCGAACCGACUAAUGUUGAAAAAUUAGCGGAUGACUUGUGGCUGGGGGUGAAAGGCCAAUCAAACCGGGAGAUAGCUGGUUCUCCCCGAAAGCUAUUUAGGUAGCGCCUCGUGAAUUCAUCUCCGGGGGUAGAGCACUGUUUCGGCAAGGGGGUCAUCCCGACUUACCAACCCGAUGCAAACUGCGAAUACCGGAGAAUGUUAUCACGGGAGACACACGGCGGGUGCUAACGUCCGUCGUGAAGAGGGAAACAACCCAGACCGCCAGCUAAGGUCCCAAAGUCAUGGUUAAGUGGGAAACGAUGUGGGAAGGCCCAGACAGCCAGGAUGUUGGCUUAGAAGCAGCCAUCAUUUAAAGAAAGCGUAAUAGCUCACUGGUCGAGUCGGCCUGCGCGGAAGAUGUAACGGGGCUAAACCAUGCACCGAAGCUGCGGCAGCGACGCUUAUGCGUUGUUGGGUAGGGGAGCGUUCUGUAAGCCUGCGAAGGUGGCCUGUGAGGGUUGCUGGAGGUAUCAGAAGUGCGAAUGCUGACAUAAGUAACGAUAAAGCGGGUGAAAAGCCCGCUCGCCGGAAGACCAAGGGUUCCUGUCCAACGUUAAUCGGGGCAGGGUGAGUCGACCCCUAAGGCGAGGCCGAAAGGCGUAGUCGAUGGGAAACAGGUUAAUAUUCCUGUACUUGGUGUUACUGCGAAGGGGGGACGGAGAAGGCUAUGUUGGCCGGGCGACGGUUGUCCCGGUUUAAGCGUGUAGGCUGAUUUUCCAGGCAAAUCCGGAAAAUCAAGGCUGAGGCGUGAUGACGAGGCACUACGGUGCUGAAGCAACAAAUGCCCUGCUUCCAGGAAAAGCCUCUAAGCAUCAGGUAACAUCAAAUCGUACCCCAAACCGACACAGGUGGUCAGGUAGAGAAUACCAAGGCGCUUGAGAGAACUCGGGUGAAGGAACUAGGCAAAAUGGUGCCGUAACUUCGGGAGAAGGCACGCUGAUAUGUAGGUGAAGUCCCUUGCGGAUGGAGCUGAAAUCAGUCGAAGAUACCAGCUGGCUGCAACUGUUUAUUAAAAACACAGCACUGUGCAAACACGAAAGUGGACGUAUACGGUGUGACGCCUGCCCGGUGCCGGAAGGUUAAUUGAUGGGGUUAGCGGUAACGCGAAGCUCUUGAUCGAAGCCCCGGUAAACGGCGGCCGUAACUAUAACGGUCCUAAGGUAGCGAAAUUCCUUGUCGGGUAAGUUCCGACCUGCACGAAUGGCGUAAUGAUGGCCAGGCUGUCUCCACCCGAGACUCAGUGAAAUUGAACUCGCUGUGAAGAUGCAGUGUACCCGCGGCAAGACGGAAAGACCCCGUGAACCUUUACUAUAGCUUGACACUGAACAUUGAGCCUUGAUGUGUAGGAUAGGUGGGAGGCUUUGAAGUGUGGACGCCAGUCUGCAUGGAGCCGGCCUUGAAAUACCACCCUUUAAUGUUUGAUGUUCUAACGUUGACCCGUUAUCCGGGUUGCGGACAGUGUCUGGUGGGUAGUUUGACUGGGGCGGUCUCCUCCUAAAGAGUAACGGAGGAGCACGAAGGUUGGCUAAUCCUGGUCGGACAUCAGGAGGUUAGUGCAAUGGCAUAAGCCAGCUUGACUGCGAGCGUGACGGCGCGAGCAGGUGCGAAAGCAGGUCAUAGUGAUCCGGUGGUUCUGAAUGGAAGGGCCAUCGCUCAACGGAUAAAAGGUACUCCGGGGAUAACAGGCUGAUACCGCCCAAGAGUUCAUAUCGACGGCGGUGUUUGGCACCUCGAUGUCGGCUCAUCACAUCCUGGGGCUGAAGUAGGUCCCAAGGGUAUGGCUGUUCGCCAUUUAAAGUGGUACGCGAGCUGGGUUUAGAACGUCGUGAGACAGUUCGGUCCCUAUCUGCCGUGGGCGCUGGAGAACUGAGGGGGGCUGCUCCUAGUACGAGAGGACCGGAGUGGACGCAUCACUGGUGUUCGGGUUGUCAUGCCAAUGGCACUGCCCGGUAGCUAAAUGCGGAAGAGAUAAGUGCUGAAAGCAUCUAAGCACGAAACUUGCCCCGAGAUGAGUUCUCCCUGACUCCUUGA